rnacentral:rRNA from 1 species
GAUGAACGCUGGCGGCGUGCCUAAUACAUGCAAGUCGAGCGAACAGACGAGGAGCUUGCUCCUCUGACGUUAGCGGCGGACGGGUGAGUAACACGUGGAUAACCUACCUAUAAGACUGGGAUAACUUCGGGAAACCGGAGCUAAUACCGGAUAAUAUAUUGAACCGCAUGGUUCAAUAGUGAAAGACGGUUUUGCUGUCACUUAUAGAUGGAUCCGCGCCGCAUUAGCUAGUUGGUAAGGUAACGGCUUACCAAGGCAACGAUGCGUAGCCGACCUGAGAGGGUGAUCGGCCACACUGGAACUGAACCACGGUCCAGACUCCUACGGGAGGCACCAGUAGGGAAUCUUCCGAAAUGGGCGAAAGCCUGACGGAGCAAGGCCGCGUGAGUGAUGAAGGUCUUCGGAUCGUAAAACUCUGUUAUUAGGGAAGAACAAAUGUGUAAGUAACUAUGCACGUCUAGAGGGUACCUAAUCAGCAAGCCACGGGUAACUACGUG